CCUACGGGAGGCAGCAGUGGGGAAUAUUGCACAAUGGGGGAAACCCUGAUGCAGCGACGCCGCGUGAAGGAAGAAGUAUUUCGGUAUUGAAACUUCUAUCAGCAGGGAAGAAAAUGACGGUACCUGACUAAGAAUCCACGGCUAACUACGUGCCAGCAGCCGCGGUACUACGGAGGGGGCAAGCGUUAUCCGGAUUUACUGGGUGUUAAGGGAGCGUAGGCGGUUUAGCAAGGCAGAAGGGAAAGCCCGGGGCUCAACUUCGGGACUGCUGUUGAAACUGUUGAACUAGAUUGCAGGAGAGGUAAGUGGAAUUCCUGGUGUAGCGGUGAAAUGCGUAGAUAUUAGGAGGAACACCAGUGGCGAAGGCGGCUUACUGGACUGUAAAUGACGCUGAGGCUCGAAAGCGUGGGGAGCAAACAGGAUUAGAUACCCGGGUAGUC
rnacentral:rRNA from 1 species